UGGGGUGCACCAGGCGCGAAAACUUCGCAAUGCACGAAAGUGCGACGAGGCUACUUCGAGUGCCGUCCGCUGAGGAUGGCUUUUGCCAAGUCUAAAUAGCUCGGAGAAUAAGGGGAGGGCAAGUCUGGUGUCAGCCGCCGCGGUAAUACCAGCUCCCUGAGUGGUCGGGAUGAUUAUUGGGCCUAAAGCAUCCGUAGCCGGUUCCGUAGGUCUCCUGUUAAAUUCAACGGCUCAACCGUUGAGCUGCAGGAGAUACCGCGGGGCUAGGAGGCGGGAGAGGCGGACGGUACUCCGUGGGUAGGGGUAAAAUCCUUUGAUCCUCGGAAGACCACCAGUGGCGAAGGCGGUCCGCCAGAACGCGCUUGACGGUGAGGGAUGAAAGCUGGGGGAGCGAACCGGAUUAGAUACCCGGGUAGUCCCAGCUGUAAACGAUGCGAGCUAGGUGAUAGAAUGAUUUCGUAUCAUUCUAGUGCCGCAGGGAAGCCGUUAAGCUCGCCGCCUGGGGAGUACGGUCGCAAGACUGAAACUUAAAGGAAUCGGCGGGCGAGCACAAGGGCGAAUCGC
rnacentral:rRNA from 1 species